GGGGAUUUAGCUCAGCGGUAGAGCGCUUGCCUAUGCGCAAGACCCUGGGUUCGGUCCCCAGCUCCG
rnacentral:tRNA from 1 species